rnacentral:lncRNA from 1 species
AUAAGCUUGUACUUUAACUGCUGCUGUGUGUUAGUAUGGAGAAGAAGAGUUAUUAGUUAGCCCUUAAAAAUAGUUGAUUAAGCAUAUAAAAGGGCAAAGAUAAUGAUGAGCAUCUAGUUUUAAUAUGGAAUAGCAGUUUAGAAUUGGACCAUGAACAUGAUAAUGAAACUGGGUUUAAAGAAAAGAGAAGAAUGGGUCACGGCAGAAAUCGGUAAAAAUAGUAUGGUAUAGUUAGUUUUCGGACUAGUCAUUUAAAACUAGUCAGCAUUUAUCAAUUCAAUGAAAAAUAGUCAUUAUUUUGAUGCAAUAU